AGACAAAACAGCUCUGCUGCCCGAAGGCAUUUCCAUCCGCAGCCGCAGCCGGGAAGGCAGCAUAUCAGAGAGCAGCAUUUCUCCAAGCCUUCCCUCCUCGAGCUCCCGGCAGUGCCCUCUCUGGGAAACGGCUUUCCAUGUCCGUGCCGCUCCGCCUCGCUGAGCCCGAGCCGGGAGGAUCUGUAGCAUCCAACAUCGUUGGCCCAAAACGCGGCGUGUCCAAUUAUUCGCCUGGAUGAUGGGGAGCUCCCGGGAGAAGCCCAACGACAACAGCAAAGUGAGGAAAUCAGUGUGCUGUGGGGCGGUGGGACCCCCAUGCUGGUGUCUGUGGCACAGUGUGGGGCUGAGCAGUCACAGAACUGCAGAAUCGGGAAGGCUGGGAAGAUCUCUGAGAACCCCAAGCCCACCCCACAGUGCCCACUGGCUGUGCUCUCAGUGCUGCAUCUCCACCGUUCAGGUACACCUCCAGGAAGCCCCUGGGUGCUGCUGUGCCGUGGGUCUCACCACACCUCAGAGCUUCUCAUCCCUCCUGCUGCUCUGUCCAAGGCCACAGGGUGGGUGUCGGGUGGUACCGAGAGCCUCCAUGUCCUGCUUUGGGGAGUUGGUAUCCACAGCCUUCAAGGUAAGGGCAAGAACAUUGGAAAAGCAAUGGACGGCAGGUGACACCACCACGGCACUCAGGGAGGGCUGUUGCAGUCACUUGUUGGCGAUAAGCUCAGGCAUGAGCUCUGCAUAGGGGUGACCUCCCCCACAAAACAUCCUUGCCCCUGCCGGCCCACGUGGUAGAGGCGGAUGGAGGUCUCCAUGCAGCGCCCUGCAUCAAAGCGCACACACCAGGCAGGUGUGGCUUGGAUUGCUCUGCAGAUAACUCUCCCUGCCCUCCUUCUUGCACGAGGGCUGGGUUUUUAAUUAGCUUUUUGAAAUGCAAUUUUAAACUUUUUUUUCCCUCUCUUAUGGAAUCUGCUUGCGUUUUUAUCUCAGUUUAGAAUGCACAAAGCUUGACAAUUUUGUUCUCAGAGUCAGUGGGAUGAUCAAGGUUUUUACAGUCUACUAAAUUAUUAAAGGAAACUCAGUUACUCACUAAAUAUUAUUGCUUCCAUACUGUCAGGGAGAAGAUCACAGUAAUAUUUUGUUAAUUCAAACAUCUUUCUCUUUCUCUGAGGCUAUUGAUGACAGGCAAAGAGCUUGCAUAAUAUACAAAGGUGCUUGUUACAGCAAGAGGACGUAAUUAAUGUCAGCAGGAACAAUAAGUCUUUGCACCAGGGCUGUGCAGCUGGCUGGAGGCUGUCCACAGCUCGGCUGGCAUUUCAGAUGGCCACCGGGCUGUAGGGGUGCCCUUAGGCACUGGGAGAGGUUUGGUGCAAAAAGAAAGGAUUUAGGUCAGAGCUUAGGGGAAAUUCUUCACUAAGAGGUCAGUGAGGCACUGGAACAGAGAAAUGGGUGCCCCAUCCCUGAAGGUGCCCAAGGCCAGGCUGGAUGGGGCGCUGGGCAGCACGGUCAACUCCUCCAUGGCAGUAGGUUGGAACUGGCUGAGCAUUGAGGUCCCUUCCAACCCAACCAUUCUGUGGCUCUAGGACUAUAGGAUUCUGUAAUUCUACAGUAUUCUCCUCAAGCAGAUCCUAUGGGGCAUUGGAUGGCCAGCAGUGAGCUGUAGCAUCCCGUGGUGUGGUGUUGUCUUGUGCCCAUCUCCAGCCACCACUCUGGUGGCCAAAUGGGAACGCAACAUCUGUAUCAGCACCAGGUCCAUACCCUACCUGCCUGCAAGUGCCCCCAGCCCUGCAGGGGAGAACGGACCACCCCAGGGACCACGAUGGGGACGCGUGGCACAUCCCCUGUUGGCACAGGGCAGCAGGGACCCGCGGGCAGGUUGCCUUUGGGGCUGCUUGGCAGAGGACGCCCGCAGCGAGACGCUGCCACGCACAGCCUGGGGCUCGUGUGGCUGUGUGGCAAGUUGUAUUUUCACACCAAUGUUUUUGGUUUUUUUUUUCAAGUCAUUACAAGCUAAACAGCUCAAAUAGUCUUCAAGGUGAAAUCUGCUUUUCAUUACUCUGUAAGGGCACUGCGGCUUCAUUUUCAUAAGUUACAUUACCAUAUGCAGCAUUAUAGUGCUUUGCUCUGCUACAUAUUGUCAACAUUAAAUAACCUCUUUUUGUGGUUACAUCAUAAAAAUUCUUUAGAUCUUGGAAGCAGACUGUGAAUAUUUGCAUAUGUAUAUCUUUAAUUUUCACAGAACAGGCUGGCUACCAGAUGGGUGAACCAAAUAAGCCUCCAACAUUUAUCUGAGAGUUCGACGUUUUCCUGUGUUGUUAACCGCAGAGGAAACUAGGUGGUUUGCAGCCACGCUGAGCCGCUGCCAGCCCCCAGCCUUCGAAUAUUUUCACAGGGAGGGGGAGGAGGGAGGGGGCUUUUUCCUCCAAGCCAGAUGGCCGUAUGGAAUCAAUAAAAGUCCGUUUCAAAAGU
ensembl:lncRNA